rnacentral:rRNA from 1 species
CAGCCGCCGCGGGAAUACGAAGGGUGCAAGCGUUAAUCGGAAUUACUGGGCGUAAAGCGUGCGUAGGCGGUGAGUUAAGUCUGCUGUGAAAUCCCCGGGCUCAACCUGGGAAUGGCAGUGGAUACUGGCUCGCUAGAGUGUGUCAGAGGAUGGUGGAAUUCCCGGUGUAGCGGUGAAAUGCGUAGAGAUCGGGAGGAAUAUCAGUGGCGAAGGCGGCCAUCUGGGACAACACUGACGCUGAGGCACGAAAGCGUGGGGAGCAAACAGGAUUAGAUACCCCCGUAGUCCCUGUCCUUAUACA